rnacentral:rRNA from 1 species
UCUGGUGGUUUGAGCGGUGUGCCCAAAACCCGAUCCCAUCUCGAACUCGGCCGUUAAACGCACCAGCGCCCAUGGUACUGUGUCUCAAGACACGGGAGAGUCGGUCGCCGCCAGAC